CUUUGAUGACCCGUCUUUAGAUCC
rnacentral:siRNA from 1 species